CAUGCAUUAUCUUUAAUCCUCAUCCCAAUCUACCAAGGGGGGAUUAUCCGUAUUUUACAGAUGAGGAGACUGAGGCCCAGCAAGGUAAAAUUGUUUGUCCCACUUUAUCCCUUUGAUAAGUGCCAGAAUUUGAAUCCAGGUCUUUCUGGCCCCAAGUUGCCUAUGGCAACCAAAGCCUUCCACGUCUACCUCCAGUCACUCAGUGGGUGGCCUUCCUCAAAUCUUGGUUCAUCAGUCAUGUCCAACACACCGGUAUGCAUCCGUGCUUAAAAAGGGAAGCCAGGCAAAAUAAGCUUCCUUGGUAUGCCUGUGGCCCCGUUUCCUGGUCUCAUCCUGCCGUCUUUCAAGGUGAGCCUUCCAGAAGCUUAAGAAGAAAUUACCUCAUCACCACUACAGGCAGGUCCCAAUUGUAAAAACAGUCCUUUUGACAGACACUUCAUCGCCAGUUCUCCCUAUGAAUGGCAGCUUUGCAGAACAGCCUCUGGCAUGGGAGGAAGGAGAGAGCUUCGAUUUAUAUUAAUACUUGAUUUCUGAACAGAAGUCAAGAGAAGAGUGGGCUCGGUGGAGAAUUUCUUCAUCUUUGGAGGGAUGAUUAAACCAGAACUUAUUAUUCUCCAUGUAAAUCACCAGGACUUAAAGCAAGAAUCCUGCUUUUUCUGAUGAGAAUGGUAGCCAGGCAAGGGAAGGCAUGCAAGGCUGCAGGGAGAUAAUGGUCU
rnacentral:lncRNA from 10 species